AUUGAACGCUGGCGGCAGGCCUAACACAUGCAAGUCGAGCGGAUGAAGGGAGCUUGCUCCUGGAUUCAGCGGCGGACGGGUGAGUAAUGCCUAGGAAUCUGCCUGGUAGUGGGGGAUAACGUCCGGAAACGGGCGCUAAUACCGCAUACGUCCUGAGGGAGAAAGUGGGGGAUCUUCGGACCUCACGCUAUCAGAUGAGCCUAGGUCGGAUUAGCUAGUUGGUGGGGUAAAGGCCUACCAAGGCGACGAUCCGUAACUGGUCUGAGAGGAUGAUCAGUCUCACUGGAACUGAGACACGGUCCAGACUCCUACGGGAGGCAGCAGUGGGGAAUAUUGGACAAUGGGCGAAAGCCUGAUCCAGCCAUGCCGCGUGUGUGAAGAAGGUCUUCGGAUUGUAAAGCACUUUAAGUUGGGAGGAAGGGCAGUAAGUUAAUACCUUGCUGUCUUGACGUUACCAACAGAAUAAGCACCGGCUAACUUCGUG
rnacentral:rRNA from 1 species